UGCUCGGGUAACCUAGUGGUUAGAGUGUCCACCUCAGAUGCGAGAGGUGGUGGGUUCGAUCCCCGGCCGAGUCAA